rnacentral:rRNA from 1 species
AUGGCGGUCCUGGACGGGGUGGAGGAGGACUGGGCCUGGGGGCGCUGCAGAAUAGUCGUGGCUGGGCCCAGGUCCCUGUCGGGAGAGUGGUCCAAGAUGAGGCGCGCGUCCCCGCCCUCGGGAGUGCGCGUGUGGGGCCCAGGUGUCUGGUCAGCAGGGGCGGCCAGGUGCACGUCAGGGCGGGCCCUACCCGCGGCAGGGGGUCCCGAUCCCCGGCAGGGGUCCCGACAUGCCCUCAGAUCAGGCGAGCUGGAGGUGGACCCGACGCAAUCGUCCUCGGGGGCGUGGAGCAGUGAGGAUUUGAAAUUGCAAGUCAUCCACACAAGUGUAUUGGCAGGACAAAAGCGUCUAGGGCAGCUGGCCAAGUGGAAAACAGCCGAGGAGGUUGCUGCACUAGUUCGACCGCUUCCCGUUGAAGAGCAGCCAAAGCAAAUUAUUAUGACAAGGAAGUAUUAUGCAAAGGAAAACGACGUUAAUACUUCUGCUCCACCGUCACAGCAGAAGCAAGCCGAGAUUGAGAAACAGACGGGUGGACCGAGAUGUCUAAAUCUGUCUCCCCGGACCUCUCCAGAGACAUCCCGUCAAAACUGCUUCGCCGCCGUAGAUGACUAUAAAAUGCCUCUGCAUCUCCGCGGCUCCACGACCAUCCUUCAGUCCUUCUCGUCCUCUCUGCCUGACCCUACCGCCGGCGCCCAAAUCCUCUCCGAGCGCCGGCCUUCCCGUCUUCCCUCCCGGGGCCGAGGUGGUGGCGCUCGCAGCCGUCGCGCCUCCUUCCGCUUCGGCUGCACAAAGCCCCCCUCUUCAUCUAGCCGGCUGCACAAGGGAGGUGACUGGGCACCUGCAAAGGAAGACGAGGCGGGUGACCACCGGGACAGCCAACCCAUGGGCGUUUGUGGUGGUCAGGCCGCGGAUGGCAUGGUCAUGGAACGGCGACUGGGCAAAGGAGCGGCGACGCGCGGCACCAGGCGGUGGGAGUUCGCGGGGUGGAGGCGACCGCGUCAAGCUUGCCAGCAUCCUCAGUUCCUCACCACGCAAGAGUGGCCGUGCGCCCCUGAAGCGAAGACUGAGAGUGUGCCGCGCCGUCAUCGGCACAUCCCGGCGAGCGCCACCCCAGGAAGUUGCGUCACCGCCAUGCAUCCCCCGUGCCCCGAUACGGGCGAGCGCGAGGAUGAUGCUGACGGACCUGCCGACCUGCACUUCUUUCUUCCGGCGUUGCUCUCAGUUUGGUCCCAGGCGGUGUGCUACCGUAGUACCGCCUCCUCGGCGAGCGUGCAGCGCCAAUUUCCAACUUGGAGCCGGCGGUGGACGAGCCCACGGCCUGCUGUAUUCCAGCGGCGAGCCAACAGCAAGCUGCUGCAGUGUUGCGCCCCUCCUUUCCCCACAAACUCUCAACUCCUCCUCUGUCCCUCGAGCGGCAAGCAGCAAGCUAGCAAUUCUCAGGCGGCAGCUCGGCAGUUGGUCGUCACUUCGUUGACAGCAGUAAUAACACUAAGGGAAAGAGGUUUUUUUGGAGUUCUUCGUUGUGAUAUGUCGUUGCAGCAGGGUUUCCUUUUACAAGGAAAUGAACUGUCAUUGCUAAAAAGUUCAGAUCUGAAGGGAUGUAAAAAAAAAGGUUCAGAUCUGAAGGUUCGUGGGGAGGACGUGGAUUUGGAGGUCCCAGCUCCUGGCAGUGUGCGCAAGGAAUUCAUGACCAACAUAUCUAAUAUAGCAUGGUAA